AUUGAACGCUGGCGGCAUGCCUUACACAUGCAAGUCGAACGGUAACAGGCCGCAAGGUGCUGACGAGUGGCGAACGGGUGAGUAAUGCAUCGGAACGUGCCCAGUCGUGGGGGAUAACUGCUCGAAAGAGCAGCUAAUACCGCAUACGACCUGAGGGUGAAAGCGGGGGACCGUAAGGCCUCGCGCGAUUGGAGCGGCCGAUGUCAGAUUAGCUAGUUGGUGGGGUAAAGGCCUACCAAGGCAACGAUCUGUAGUUGGUCUGAGAGGACGACCAGCCACACUUGGACGGAGACACGGCCCAGACUCCUACGGGAGGCAGCAGUGGGGAAUUUUGGACAAUGGGCGCAAGCCUGAUCCAGCAAUGCCGCGCGCAGGAAGAAGGCCUUCGGGUUGUAAACUGCUUUUGUCAGGGAAGAAAUCUUCUGGGCUAAUACCCCGGGAGGAUGACGGUACCUGAAGAAUAAGCACCGGCUAACUACGUGCCAGCAGCCGCAGUAACAC
rnacentral:rRNA from 1 species